rnacentral:rRNA from 1 species
AUAACAUCCUGCCUUCGGAACAGGCGGUGAUCAAAGCCGGGGACCGUAAGGCCCGGCGCUUGAUGAGGGGCUCGCGUCUGAUUAGCAAGUUGGUGAGGUAAUGGCCCACCAAGGCGACGAUCAUGUAUCCGGCCCGAGAGGGCGGACGGACACACUGGGACUGAGACACGGCCCAGACUCCUACGGGAGGCAGCAGUGGGGAAUUGUUCACAAUGGGCGCAAGCCUGAUGACGCAACCGCCGCGUGGAGGAUGAAGGUCUUCGGAUUGUAAACUCCUGUUGCCCGGGACGAAAAGCCUCGACCUAACACGAUMNAGGUCUGACGGUACCGGCUGAGGAAGCCCCGGCUAACUCUGNGCCACAGCCGCGGGAAUACAGAGGGGGCAAGGCGUUGNUCGGAANAACUGGGCCGUAAAAGGGCGCGUAGGCGGCCUUCUAAGUCCGAACCGUGAAAUCCCUGGGCUCAACCCAGGAACUGCGUCCGAUACUGGAAGGCUUGAAUCCGGGAGA